AGCUUCCCCUCAGAAGCUAUAUCCACAGUCUCCCUAGAAAACUUCCCCUGUUUGGAGUUUAAGGAUUUCUUGGCCCAGAAAUCCAGCUCUUGAAGUUCCUCUUAGAUGGCUCACUUCUCAACCCCCUUCGUCUCCUUUCUCAGCAAAAGACUGAUCGGUCUUCUGGAAUUUUCCUCCCACCCUUCUGGCUUCUCCUUCUCCUGCAGAGUGACGCAGGACAACCUCCUUCAGAGCUCCUGCUACUGCCGCCAUUCUGGUCAUUUGUCUAUAUCAGAUGCAAAAGGAAGCGCUGCAGCCACCUCAAAUCGCCCUGGAAUGCUCUCCCAAAUGGGCCAGACUCCAUGUUUUGUCAACGAAAAUUGAACAUUACCUGGUGCACAGGUAAAAUACAUCCAUCUCUUCUGAAUGCAAACUCUCAGCAAGAGUAAGCCGAGUAAGCUUUGUCACAUCAAGAAGCAAGUGGGCAGACAGUGGACAAGAAAAGCCCUA
rnacentral:lncRNA from 1 species